rnacentral:lncRNA from 1 species
UAGACGUGUUGGAGCAGUGCUGGGAGAACUGUGGGAAGUUCAUGUGGGAUCAGUUUGGCAAGGACAGCAUCCUGUGGGAGUGACCCACAUGGGGCAGGGACAGAGAGCGACCAUGGAGGAGCUGCAGCCACCAUGAGGCCUCUGCUCUGGGCUGAGCGUACCCAGGGACCUCAGCUGCUCCUCACACACUUUGCUUUCCAGACCCUUCCCCGUGUUUGUUGCCCUCCUUUAGACACUGCCUAAUAGCUUUAUGCCCUUUUUAUACUGUGGGCCCAAACCCACGCCCAGUGCUGGAGGUGAGGCUACACCAGUGCAGAGCAGAGGGAACAACCCCUCCCUUCGUCCAGUGGCAGUGCUAGGCCUGAAAUUACAUUUAGUUCUUCAGGCAGAAGCAAUACAGCCCUAUUUAGAUUUACAAAGGCUGCCCUGGCUCUUGCUCUCAUCUUGGAUGUUAUAAUUUUAUCCUUUUAUUUUCCAAGGUUGCUGGGUAUUCCAUGGAGAUUCAUGAAUGUAUAUAUAUACAUUCAUACACACAUAUAUGGAUACUCCAUGAAUAUACUCAGGAAUCAUAAAUGUUCAAUUCUACACCAUAUUGUACAGAUGUAUAACUGGAAGAUAUGAUGCCCAACACAGUGUUUAUGUGUCCUACUCUUGUUUUCCUGCUCACACAGGUUUAUUUUCUCUCUCAAGUUCAAAGUAUGCAACUCAAAAAGUCCAGAAAAUAAGGGACAUGCCUCAGAGUAUGUGCUUUGCUCAGCUUUGUGACUGUCUUAUUUGUCUCUACAGCAAUUCGUGCAAGUUAAGCCAAACAAAGAUCUACUGUACCUUGACAGCAGGACCAUCUGGAGUUCAUUCUUGUAAUUAUUUUCAGGCAUACACGGUCCUCCUCUGGCAAAUAGGCAUUUUAAGGCAUCACGGGGCAUGUUCAUUAGCAUACUGGGAAUCAAAAGCAGUCUUCUGUAAGGAUUUUGCUAGCUGUCCCAAAGCUUGCUGAGAUGGACAUAUGUCAGCUUGGACUGCCAGUGAGAAGUAAUGUGUAAAAGAAAGCUUACAAGGUCAUUACAAGGUAAUUAUGUUUAUUCUCCUUUCCAAAAUAUAAUAGCUAAAUAAUUUCAUGUAGUUAGUAUUAACUUGAUAAAGAAUAACCUGUACUGUUGCUUUGCAUGACAUUUUUCAAUUAAAUCUCCCUUAUGUUAUACACACGCAUAAAAACAUAAAAGCCCAGCACAACAUUUUGCAUUGAGAUUCCCACUAGUCAAAAUGCAUUAGAGUUGCCACUGGAGAAAUGUGAAAAUCAGAUUCUUCCUUCAGAUGAUCAAGAUUCAAAAAUAAAAUGACUUCAAACACUGGAGAUAUAUGUGCA